rnacentral:rRNA from 1 species
AGGGAAUAUUGGACAAUGGAGGCAACUCUGAUCCAGCCAUCCCGCGUGAAGGAUGAAGGUCCUCUGGAUUGUAAACUUCUUUUCUCUGGGAAUAAAAACUCCGAUUUACUCGGAGCUUGAAGGUACCAGAGGAAUAAGCACCGGCUAACUCCGUGCCAGCAGCCGCGGUAAUACGGAGGGUGCAAGCGUUAUCCGGAUUCACUGGGUUUAAAGGGUGCGUAGGUGGUCUUGUAAGUCAGUGGUGAAAUACCGCAGCUCAACUGCGGAACUGCCAUUGAUACUGCUUGACUUGAAUUAGGUUGAGGUGGAUGGAAUAUUACAUGUAGCGGUGAAAUGCUUAGAUAUGUAAUAGAACACCGAUUGCGAAGGCAGUUCACUAAACCUAUAUUGACACUGAGGCACGAAAGCGUGGGGAUCAAAC